CUCUGGUCCAGGUGUCCUGUUUCCAUUCUUCUUUCCUUGCCCACAGUUCAGGAGCAGACCACCUGCUUUGCAGGCAGAAGGUCCCAGGUUCCUUCCCCAAUGACAUCUCCAGGUAGGUCUGGGAAACUGCUGGAGUGAGACUGCAAGUCAGGGUAGGCAAUACUGGACCACCAGCCUGACUCAGGAUAAGGCAGCUACAGUACUUAAGUCAGAAUUAUGAAGACUAGAAGCUUGAGAGCCAGUGUGGUGUAGUGGUUAAGAGCGGUAGAUUCGUAAUCUGGUGAACUGGGUUCGAUUCCCCGCUCCUCCACAUGCAGCUGCUGGGUGACCUUGGGCUAGUCACACUUCUCUGAAGUCUCUCAGCCCCACUCACCUCACAGAGUGUUUGUUGUGGGGAGGAAGGGAAAGGAGAAUGUUAGCUGCUUUGAGACUCCUUCGGGUAGUGAUAAAGCGGGAUAUCAAAUCCAAACUCCUCCUCCUCCUCCUCCUCUUCUUCUUCUUCUUCUUCUUCUUCUUCUUCUUCUUCUUCUUCUUCUUCUUCUUGUACAGUGGUACCUUGGGUUACAGACGCUUCAGGUUACAUACACUUCAGGUUACAGACUCCGCUAACCCAGAAAUAGUACCUCAGGUUAAGAACUUUGCUUCAGGAUGAGAACAGAAAUCGUGCUCCAGCCGCACAGCAGCAGUGGGAGGCCCCAUUAGCUAAAUUGGUGCUUCAGGUUAAGAACAGUUUCAGGUUAAGAACGAACCUCCAGAACGAAUUAAGUUCUUAACCCGAGGUACCACUAUAAUAUUUUUAAGCGUGUGACCAUAGCACCUGCUUGGCAUACAGAUGAUCCAUGUUCAAUCCCAGGAAUUUCCAGGCAGGGCAAGGGGAGCCUCCUGACUGAAACCUCGGAGAGUCUCUGGUAGUCAGUGGUCUGGUGGCAGUUUGCUUCUGUGUUUCUGUGCCUUCAGGUAGGGAUGAGAAACCUUCAACCUCCAGAGCCUGCAGAGUCAAUUUGGCCUCCCCAUUUGAUCUUCCUCAAGCUACACUGAUAUAUGAGGUCCUAUGCUCUUGCAGGGAACAGGGUGGGGGAAGAUAAGGACCAGGCCCAUUCCGCCAAAAUAUUCCCCCACCCCCUUCUUCAAUGGAAGGGCCAUAGUUCAGUUAUGGAGCAUGUCAAAGGUCCCAGUUUUAAUCCUGGUGCCUCCAGGAAGGACUUGGAGAGUCUCUGGGGAGUCUCUACCAGGAAGUGUAGUCAAGUCUAAGCUAAAUGGACCAAAGGGUCUGUCUUGGGAGCUUUCUCCUUCUCUUAAAACACUAUCAUAACUCAUGGACAUCUAAUGCAGACCCUCCAAGUUUCCCUAUUUUCCAGGGACAGUCCUGGAUUUACAGAAGACGUCCUGGUUUCUGAUUUGAUCCUGGAAUGUUCCGCUUUUCCUUAGGAUGUCCCUAUUUUCAUUGGAGAAAUGUCAGAGAGUAUGGAGCUAUUAUGUUUUUAUACAGUGGUACCUCGGGUUACAGACGGUUCAGGUUACAGACGCUUCAGGUUACACACUCCAUUAUCCCAGAAAUAGUACCUCGGGUUAAGAACUUUGCUUCAGGACGAGAACAGAAAUCGUGCUCCGGCCGCACAGCAGCAGUGGGAGGCCCCAUUAGCUAAAGUGGUGCUUCAGGUUAAGAACAGUUUCAGGUUAAGAACGGACCUCCAGAAUGAAUUAAGUUCUUAACCAGAGGUACCACUGUACAUUGAUGCAAAAUCCAGCAUCGCCUGAGCUCUGUGAGUGCAGCUUUCUCCCGACUGAAGUGCAGAGUGUUUGAGAACUGGGACAUUUGCAGGGAAACCAAAAUGCUUGUUUACAAAGCUAUUGUACUACCAACGUUACUGUAUGCUUGUGAAACAUGGAUCACUUAUAAAUGCCAUCUAAAACUCCUUGAAAGAUUCCACCAAAGGUGUCUCUGAAAAUUUUUACACAACACUUGGGAGGACAGGGGAACUAAUGCCAGUGUACUGAAAGAAGCAAAGAUCACCCAUGUUGAAGCGAUGAUUCUUCAACAUCAACUUUGUUGGACUGGUUGUGCGGAUGCCUGGUUAUCGUCUUCCAAAGCAACUGCUCUAUUCCAAACUUAAAAAUGGAAAGUGUAAUGCCGGUGGUCAACAAAAGAGGUUUAAAGACUCUCUCAAGGCAAAUCUAAAAAAAUGUAAUAUAAACACUGACAACUGGGAAACACUAGCCUGUCAGCGCUCCAACUGGAGAACAGCCUUUACCAAAGGUGCUGUGGGUUUUGAAGACACUCGAACUCAGGAUGAAAGGGAGAAACGUGCUAAGAGGAAGGCACACAUGGCAAACCCUCACUGUGAUCAACUACCACCAGGAAACCAAUGUCUCCACUGUGGAAGGAUGUGUGGAUCCGGAAUUGGCCUCCACAGUCACUUAUGGACCUACUGUGAUGACUGUGUUUAUGGAAGACAAUCUUACUCAGCUACGAGUAUUGGCAAAGAGAAGGAUUAUGUUUCUAUAUAUGCUGAAAGUUGCCCACAUUGCCUGGGGCAACCAAGACAGAUGGGCAAGGCAUAAAUAAUAAAAUAUUUACCAGUUGCCAAAAGUCACAGGAGGGCAGAAUGCUCUUGCACUUGCAUUCUGCUUGAGGGUUUCCAGUUGGGAGGUUGCCACUGUGAUGCUGGACUUGAUUGGUCUGAUCCAGCAGGCUUUUCUUGUGUUCUUAUGACUCUCUGGGAGACAGAGACCCCCCACCGUGUCCUUUCGAUGCCCCAAAUCUAGAUUUGAGGCUGAUGGACGUACCUAUAAGAGGUUGCAGCUGAAGGUUACAGACAAAAACCUAGAGCUGCUUUUGCAAGUCUGAAGGUAGGCUUGGGAGCUAAUUCCUUUUCUUUUCUUAAAGAACCACGCGGUGUGUUUCUCACAAACACUUGGAUAGAUUUCCUCCUCAGCCUCAAACAUCCAGAACACAUCCUGCUCAGUUUAAAUGCAAACUGACAGGUACCGAGGAAUCCAUUGAUUGUGUACUUUCAAAGCUCCCCAGGCUGCUGUGGUGAAGGUGGAGAUGUUAGAGGGCAGGACUCCUGGGUUCGUUUUCCCCUCUACCCGACAGGAACUUUUCUCCUCCAAACUUUCUCUUCUCCUGCCUCAGAUCUCUGUGGUUGGGUUUCUUUUUAUUGUUGAAAAAGAAGGCAGACAGGAUGCCUCACCUAAGAACCUAAGAAAAGUCUGCUGGGUCAGUCCAGUAUCCUGUUCUUAUAGUGGCCAAGCAGAGGCUUGUGGGAAACUCACAAGCAGCACCUGAGCACUAGAGUCCCCUCCCCUCCUGUAGAGAUGAUGCCAGGGACCUUCUACAUGCUAAGAAGAUGCUCUGCCACUGAGCUAUGACCCUUCCCCUUGAAAUAAAGUAAGACUCCAGUCCAUUUGGUUUUGAAUAAAGGCUGGUAGAAAAUGUUUCAUGCCAGGACUUGUAAAAGAGAAAAAGAGUGUUGGGAAAUGAUCCAGAAUGAAUGGGGGGGGGAUGUUUAAAAGUACUCCCCCCCCCAAAAAAAAACCCCAGAGUCCUUUCUGUUGGGGAUAAUUCAGACUGAAAUUCCCAAGCGUCAAAAAAGGUUAUUUAUGUAUGUCACUGCUGAGUCACAUGUUUUGUUAGCCUCAAAAUGGAAAACGAGCGAGGUCCCAACCAAAGAAGAAUGGCAACUUAAGCUGACGGAAUAUGCACAACCUGCAGACUUCAUGUAUAGAAUAAGAGAACAAGAAGAACAUACGUUUAGAGAAGAUUGGAAAGUGUUCAUUGAAUAUACGGGAAAUAAUUGUGUACGGCUGAAAACGCUGGCAGCGUUAAGAUAAAUUCAACAGUGUAAAUAAGUUUGGAUGGAUGUAAUAAUGGAACACCGAUUGGUAUAGUUUUUGUAAAAUAUGCAGGGAUUUAUGUUAUGUGAAAUGAACCAUGAAAAGAGAAGAAAGGAAGUCCUUGAUGUCUUAAGGAUGUAAAAUGAGUAUUUUAAAUUGUAAUGAAAAUUGUGUGUGUGUGUGUGUGUGUGUGUGUGUGUGUGUGUGUGUGUGUUAUGGUUUUUAUUAAAGAUUUUCUUGGUUUACAAAAGUUCUAUUUGAUGUGGGAUGUUGAUAUUGUAUAUAGUAUAAAGUUGGGAGAGAAGGGAGGUGGGGAGAGAGAGCAGGGAGGGAGGGAGAAGCUUCCAAAGCAACUACUCUAUUUCAAACUUUAAAAUUGAAAGUGUAAUGCCGGUGGUCAACAAAAGAGGUUUAAAGACUCUCUUAAGGCAAAUCUAAAAAAAUGUAGUAUAAACACUGACGAAUGGGAAAUAAUGGCCUGCGAGUGCUCCAGUUGGAGAACAGCCUUUACCAAAGGUGUCGUGGGCUUUGAAGACACUCAAACUCAGGACGAAAGGGAGAAACGUGCAAAGAGGAAGGCAUGCUUGGCAAACCCUCACCAUGAUCAACUUCUGCCCGGAAACCAAUGUCCCCACUGUGGAAGUACGUAUGGAUCCAGAAGUGGCCUCCACAGUCACUUAUGGACGCACUCUUAAGACCGUGUUCAUGGAAGACAAUCUUACUCGGCUACAAGGGAUCGCCAAAGAAGAAGGAGGAGAAGAAGAAGAAAACUUUAAUUCUUUUACGUAGCAUAUGUGCAAGGUUUUAGUGUCAGCAUCACGUGGGCAGGUUCUCUUCCUAUGCAUUUAUUCAUUUUCAUUGGCGGUGAGAGAGAUUGGGGGAGCAGGGCAUAGUUGGUUGUCUAUAGUUGACUGCAUUAAGUUUUGUUUGCAUGUGAGAAGGCGGAAGGGGUUGUUGGGUCGGUCAGCUUAGCCAUAUCGAUUCGUAUGCUGUUGGGGAGUUCUUGUCAUGUUGGGCUGUAUGUGUGAAAUAUACUCGGGAGUCCUGUAGUGAUUUCAUGCUCUUUAUUGCAGCUUGUAAAACAGUGAUUGAAUUGCCCCCCAAACCUCAGGCUUUUAUAUACAUUAUUUACACAAUGAGUCCCAUCUGUUUGGCUGAUUCUGCUUCCCUCCUGGAGCCUGAUUGGUCUUUUCCUGCAGGCCAAUCAGUUAUUGCAUUCUAUGAUCCUACCAGCCUAAUAGGCUGAUUAUCUUCCUCCUGGAGCCUGAUUGGUCUUUUCCUGCAAACCAAUCAGUUGUUGCAUUCUAAGAUCCUACUUGCCUAUUGUUCUAGGAUCCAAGCUUAGUACAUAACACCGUGUAAUAAAGGGGAGGCACAAUGGGUGAAGGUAUCCCCUUUUAUUUGUCCCUGUGCUAGUUUCAGUUUGUUGGUUAGAUGUUAUUAUGUUUAAAUAUUUGUUGGAAGCCACCCAGAGUGUCUGGGGAAACCCAUUCAGAUGGGCAGGGUAUAAAACAACAACAACAACAGACAUCCCUAUUUUCAUUGAAUAAAUUUUGGAGGCUAUGCUGUUGACUGCACUGACUGGAAGACAUUCUCCAGGUUUCCAGGAGUGAACCUGGGACCUUCUGCAUGCAAAGGGCCCCAGACCUGCGCCCCCGCUUCAUUCAAAACACCCCACCUUGCUGGCAGACAGUUGUCUAGAUGCGAAGAUCAGGCUCGAACUCUUUGCCCGCUGCCCUUUCUCGAGGAAGAGGCGAGCUCAGCCAUGCGGCAAUUCAGCAAAGAGAAAGGGACAUUGUUCUCCCGGCCUCGCUCUGCUUGCAGAGAGCCGGUGAUCCACCAUGGAUCCCUCUUGCCUGAGUGAGAGACAAAUUGCUUUGCGGUGGUGACACCGCUGGACUCAUCCAGAUGUGACUCAGCAGGUAUUAGCCGGGAUGCUCUCAAAAGCUGGCAUGCACCGACGCAUGCGUGUGCGCGGCACACAGAUCCGCUCUCUCUUGCUCCCGGCUGAGUUCAUGCUUCUCCCCUGCUCCCAGCCCAGAGGAGGGAUUAGCAGAGAACAGUCUGCCCUUGUUCUUUUGCCAAACCAGCCAGUAGAGUGAUGAAAAAAAAGAGCGCUGACUUGGCUUGCAGCCUGCCCUUUGCUCCUGGGUGUAUAUGUGUCUGUGUGUUCCCUUGGCUGUGAGGCUUUAAAGGAGGGGGGGAAGAUGCAUGCUUUGGGACAGCGCCAAUCUUGUGCAGACUGAACUGGAAGGAGGCACACCAGGCGGAGCUAGGAAACUCAGGAACGUUGCGCUGUGUUGGGAAACGAAAGCGUGUUUAUUCAGAAGGCAUGCAGAAGCCAUUAGCCUCCUGCGCAUAGUUAAACUGUGGAACUCACUGCCACAGGAGGCAGUGGUGGCCACUAACAUACCCUCCAACCUUUCUCCAGCAUAAAGGUAAAAAGGUCAAGGACUCCCUGGAUGGUUAAGUCCAGUCAGAGGUGACUAUGGGGUUGCGGCGUUCAUCUCACUUUCAGGCCGAGGGAGCCGGCGUUUGUCCACAGACAGCUUUCCGGGUCAUGUGGCCAGCAUGACUAAACCAUUUCUGGUGCAACAGGACACUGUGAUGGAAGCCAGAGCGCAUGGAAAUGCUGUUUACCUUUCCACCGCAGCAGUACCUAUUCAUCUACAGUGGUACCUCGGGUUACAUAUGCUUCAGGUUACUUACGCUUCAGGUUACAGACUCUGCUAACCCAGAAAUAGUACCUUGGGUUAAGAACUUUGCUUCAGAAUGAGAACAGAAAUUGUGCUCCGGCGGCGCAGCGGCAGGAGGAGGCCCCAUUAGCUAAAGUGGUGCUUCAGGUUAAGAACAGUUUCACGUUAAGUACGGAUUUCCAGAACGAAUUAAGUACUUAACCGAGGUACCAUUGUACUUGCAAACUGAUAGGUUGGCAGGAGCUGUGGCAGAAAAACGGGGGCUCACUCUGUCAUGGGAAUUCGAACCGCCGACCUUCAGAUCGGCAAGCCCAAGAGGCUCAGUAGUUUAGACCACAGUGCCACCCAUGUUCUCCUCCCUCCUGCAUGUGGUGAGUGGGGACCCUUUUGCAACAGUUCCUUCAAUUAAGAUCAGGCUUACUAGCCACUUUACUUCUGAAUAUACUCUGGCUGGCCUCUGUUUUUUCUCCCACCGAUAGGGAACCCACUUAAGGACUCUCUACAGGCUCUUGGAUACCCCAUAAGGGAAAGGGAGCAGCUUUUUCUUAAAACAACGAUAAUAAUAUCUAUCCACACUGAUGCAAUUCAUAUUUCCAGGCAUUUUGGGUAUGUGUGUUUGCAUGUGUGUUGAAUUGGCACUCAAUUCAGGAAACUGUUUGACAUGGAGAAAGGAGGAGGGGGAAGGAGCUGAGGGUCAAGUGGAACACUGCGAUUGCCUGCGUUUCACCAGGCAGGCAGGAUUCGCACGUGACACCUUCCACCUUUUCCCGUGCCUCUCUCCGCCUGGACGAGGAGAGGUCCUGACAGGCCUUUUCACUUUGAGCGAGGCUGGUGGGCCAUAAUAAUGCUCUGGUAAAUAAUAUACAGCAGUCACAGCGCCGGCACUUGAGAGCGCAGCACUAGAUUCUGCUGACCCCUGCAUUGUUGCUACCUGAAGGGAAACAGGCCCCAUAAAAUAUUGAAGGGAACUAAUAGAAAAUGAGACAGCAUGACUAAUGGGGUGGAGUGAGGCAAGGGGAGCAGGCGGGGACGAAAGGGGGCGGGCGGGCGGAGCUCUCUAAUGCAGCUCUUGCUCUCUCCCGCCGGCUGCGAGCGGGGGAAUCCCACAAUGCUCUGCAGCUGGCGGGGGCUUGCAGCAGGGAGUAAAGGAAUCCUGGCCCGUGAGCCAAUCUGACACCUGCAUAUCCCCCAAAGCAUCUGGGGGAGUUCAUUAAUUGAAAGCAUGCCUAUCUCUCUCGCUAAAAUAGCAACAAGGUGGCAUAUCAAAAAACAAGCUUUUGCAAAAGAAAAACCCAAUAUGCAAUAAAAACAAGGUGACUACAUCACGCAGCUGGUACCAGAGGUCCAGGGAAGCCUGAUAGAUGCUAAGCAGAAGUUGACCACAGUAGGUACCUACCGUGUCUCAGUGGGCAGUUCAUUCCGCAGCUUGGGGGCUACCACUGAGAAGACACUACGAACAUAAGAAGAGCCUUUCUCUAGAUCAGGCCAGUGGCACAUCUGGUCCAGCAUCCUGUUCUCACAGUGGCUCACCGGAUACCUAUGGGAAACCAGCAAGCAGGAUCCGAACACAAGAGCACUCUCCACUGUGAGGUAGGUUAGGCUGAGAGAAGGCAGUAACUGGUCCCCCAGUCACUGGCAGAGGAACAGGCAUGCGGAGGGAGCGCACCGCCCCCAGUGGCACGAUCCCGGUGGGGUGCCAUCAUGGCUGGCCCCCCUGCACUAGGUGCCACGCCCCCAGGAUGCGUGCCACAGCCCCAGGAUACGCACCACGCCCCUGCAGGCGGCACACCAAGCCCCCAGGGUGCGCGCCAGCCACACCCCCGCCUGUUCUCCACCACUGUCCCCAGUGAGUUUCAUAGCCAAGCAGGGAUUUAAACCCUGGUGUCUCCCAGGUCUUUGUCUGGUGCUCUAACCACUGCACCAUACUGGUUCUCUUAGACAGAAGAACUUUCUCCUGGUGGGAGCCAUUUGACAGGGGAACAGACUCCCUCAGAAGGUGGUGAACCCUCCUUAAAUCUCUUCUUAAAUGUCCGUCAGAUGAGCAUCCAUCAGGGGUUCUUGAGCUGCGAUUCCUGCAUUGCGGCACGGGGUUGAACAAGAUCACCUUUGGAGAGCUCCCUUGCAACUCUACAAGUCUAUGACUCCUGAUGUCCAGGUAAGCAAAGAGCUGUGGAAGGAACGUCUUGCUGAAAAAGCUUCCUUAUUUUCUCUCCCCAGCCUGAGGACUUUGCUUAAGUUACACAUCUGCCCAGGUGUGUGUGUGUGAGUCUCCUACACAUGUCACCAUUGAACCUCUCUUCAAAUCAUCUCCGACAGGCUGGAAAAUCCAUACCUUGAGGGCCUCAUUAUGGUUUUCUCUCCCAGGUCCUUAUUAGCUUGAAGACAUCGGGCAGAGUAACCUGGAACGCCAAGAGGUGAACGGGUGGGGGUGCAAUUUCUGCUGAGCCCCAAAGUGAGAGGGCUGGCUUCCAAUCCAUCCAUCCAUCUCUUCUAAUCAUGUCACUCAUUGUUUUUUGAACGAUCAGAGUGGACUCCUGUCUGCCGAACCUUGCCAAAGAUGCCUUCAGGGUUCAGUAUCAUCUGUGUACGGGCUGAGUCACUUGGACUUUUGUCCUUGAUUUCCUCUGUGUUUACCUACCAGUGUCGUUCUGUUGCAAAGGCCGAGUGACGGACCCCACCCCACACACAUUUUAUUCUUCCCAUCCACCCAUUCUGUUUUGAGUUAUUGGCUCCAAACUUCCAAUCAACAUUCGCUGAAACACAUUAGCAAGUGAAACACAGAGCAGUGUGGGUGUAUAUUUGUGUGUGUUGGGGCUGAGAAUCUGAAUUCUCUUCGCCCUCUGUUAUAUGAGAGGUUUUAUCUGCUUUUUAAGAAAAUGUUAUUACAGUUUGAUUCUUUUUAUAGCACCCAAAGGGUUUGUCUUCUAACUAAGACUGACUCAAAGGAGAUCCGCUGGAAUCAAUGGACCUAAGUUCAGCCCAGCCUUCAAUGUCAAUAGGUUGGAUCUGAGCAUCGCUAAUGUCAAAUGCAGUCCAAAUGAAGAUAUCCAACAAAUUCAUACUUAGACCUGUUGAAAUCAAUGGGCCUUAGCCUGCUCUUGAGCAGGACUAACAGGUAUUUAUACCUUCAGAGAAUAUUGAAACUACGCCUUCAUCCGAAUGAGGAAAUCCCAACGAAAGAACAGUGGCAAGAAAAAUUGAUGAGCUAUGCAGAGUUGGCUAAAUUGACAUACAAACUGCGGGAUAAAGACAACUGUGACUUUAAGGAAGAAUGGGAACUUUUUACAAAUGAUCUAAAAAAACAAUAAAAUGAAUUGGACUCCUUGGCAGGUUUUGAAUAAACAUACAAAAAUUUAUUGGUUGAUUACAUAGGAGGAAGGUGAAACGGGAGGCGUACGCUUCCCAGUCUCCUAAUGCUGGGUUGAAUGGCAAGAAGUUGCUGUCAGUUGCCAUUCUGAGUUCCUUGGGUCCCGGAGCUGAAGCCUGGAUACACGGUGCGAGGCAGCGGUGCGGCAGGUGGCGGUGCUGUGUGUGGCGGUCAGCUACGUGGGAUCCCACCUUCGUUGCCAGUGAAAUAUACUCGGAGUCGAGAGUGGAUUUCAUGCUCUUUAUUCAGUUCAUAGUGGUGAGGAGGACUGGAAGUUCCCCCAGAAUAUCUGCUUUAUAUACAUUAUUUAAACAAUGGGCCCCACGUGAUUGGCUAUUUCUGGGAUUCUCCUGUAGGCCAAUCAGAUUGCUGAUCCACUUCCACCUGGAGCUGGAUUGGGUGGCUCCUGUGAACCAAUCAGACUGCUGCAUUCUGGACCCUCUUGUUCUAGGACCAAUCAGACUGCUGCAUUCUGAAUCCUAUUGUUCUAGGACCAAUCAGACUGAUGCAUUUUGGAUCCUAUUCAACUCAGUACAUAACAAUAGAUAAGGCAAGGAUAUGUAUAAUUUUAUAACAUGCAGAGAAUAAUAUGUGUGAAGAAAUCAGAGAGAGGAGCUGAGGGAACUCCUUGGUGGGGGGGAGGAUGGAAGGGGGGGGUGGAAAAAAGGGGGAAAAUAACAUAUGUGAUUAUAUGGUUUGAUAAUUUUUUAUGUUGAAAUUGUUUAAUAAAAAUAUUUUUUUAAAAAAAGAAACUAUGCCUUCAUCCAGGAGGAGUAUACAUAUUUAUAUUGCUGAGCUACAGAGCUUCUCCUAAAAAUCAUAGAACAGUAGAGCUGGAAGGGACCCCAAAAGCCAUUUAGUCCAACCUCCUGCAAUGCAGCAAUCACACCUCAAGAAUCCCUGACAGGUGGCCAUCCAACCUCUGCCUAAAAUCCAUGAAUAUAGGAGAGCCCACCACCUCCCAAGGGACUCCGUUCUACUAUUGAACAGCUCUUACCUUCAGAAAGUUUUUCCUAAUGUUUAGCCGAAAUCUCCUUAAAUCUUGUAACUUGAAUCCAUUUCUUCACAACCUACCCACUGGAGCAGCAGAAAGCUAAGUUCCUAGUCCUCAUGGUUUGGAAUAAAAAGCUGUGUUACCCUGAGUCGGACUAUUCGUCCAUCUAACUCAGUACUGUCUGCACAGACUGGCAGCGGCUCUCCAGGAAUUCAGGCAGAGGGCCUUUCCCAGCCCUACCCAGAUUGAACCUGGAGUCUUCUGCAUGCCAGGCAGCUGCUCUACCCACUGAGCUGCAUCUGUUUCCCCCUUAAAAAAUUAAAAUAAAGUGAGAUACUAGUCCUCAUGCUUCUGAAUAAAGGACUGGUUUCAAUCAGAAUAAAGGAAGCUGCCUUAAAGUGAGUCAGGCCAUAGAAUCAUAGAAUUGUAAGAGACCACAAGGGUCUUAUCUCAUCAGGAAGUCCCCCAUCCCAUUUGAAACCAUACCAGACCCUGCUUAGCUUUGCAGAUGUGUUAGCAGUUUUAUUACUGCACCACUGGGAUGGUCCAUUUAGCUCAGAGAGGGGGAGGUAUGAUAUUGUCCACAUUGAACGGAAGCGACUUCUCCGGGAUUUCAGACAAUUAGCCUUUUCCAGUCCUAUCUGGAAAUGAUGUCGCGCAUCGAACACGGCAUCUUCUGCAUUCCAACCAGAUGCUCUACCAACUGAGCUGUGGCCCUCCGCCUAAAUUUAAACCCUCUGAUUGGGAGUGGAUGCUGGCAGUCUCAGCUGCUCAGCAAGUUGUGGGAUAAAGGUAAAGGUAAAGGGACCCCUGACCAUUAGGUCCAGUCAGACUCUGGGGUUGCGGCACUCAUCUUGCUUUAUUGGCCGAGGGAGCCGGCGUACAGCUUCCAGGUCAUGUGGCCAGCAUGACUAAGCCGCUUCUGGCGAACCAGAGCAGCGCACGGAAAUGCUGUUUACCCUCCCGCCGGAGCGGUACCUAUUUAUAUACUUGUACUUUGACGUGCUUUCGAACUGCUAGGUUGGCAGGAGCAGGGACCAAGCAACGGGAGCUCACUCCGUCGUGGGGAUUCGAACCGCCGAACUUCCGAUUGGCAAGUCCUAGGCUCAGUGGUUUAACCCACAGUGCCACCCGUGUCCCAGUAAUUGUGGGAUAACCAGCCUUAUAUAACCAACAAGCUUAAGUCUAUUUAAUGCAUGAAGGGGUUAAUGCCAUAGAGUAAGCUGUCCUGCCAGGCUUAGCUAGGUCACUCCUUCUCCCCUUGGGAGGAAGGUUAUGAGUCUAUUGUUCUCUCUCAGUCUACCUAAGAAGUUCAGUGUGUAAAGAGGUUUGAGCUAGUUGCUCCGAGCUCAGACCACAUGGCCCUAACAAGCCUUUUGAAUACUGUGUCCAAUUCUGGGCACCGUAAUUUAAGAAGGAUAUUGGCAAGCUGGAACAUGUGCAGGGCAGGGCAACUAAGAUGAUCAAGGGUCUGGAAACCUUAUGAGGAACGGAUGAAGGAGUUUGGUAUGUUUAGCCUGGAAAAGAGGAGACUGAGAGGAGAUGAUAGUUAUCUUGAAAUAUGUCACAUGGAAGAGAGAACAAGCUGUUCAACAGUGGAACGGUCUCAGGAGGUUGUGGACUCUCCUUCCUUGGAGGAAUUUAAACAGAGGUUGAAUGGCCACCUAUCAUCUUAGUUGAAAUUCCUACAUUGCAGGGAGUUGGACUAGAAGACUCUUGGGGUAGCUUUCAACUCUUCAAUUCUAUGAUUCUUGAGUUCCUAAACCAAUAAUUUUCACCACUGUAACUAAGCCAACUUUUACUGCCUAUUCAACCUUUUCCGAAUGCUGUAUGAAAAAGCACAUGAAUCUGACCUUUGGAGGGUUUGUAAGUAAACCAUUUUUAACGUCCCAAAUGUGUGGCCUUUUCACUG